UACGUAGGGGUCGAGCGUUGUCCGGAGUUACUGGGCGUAAAGCGUGUGCAGGCGGCGCAUCGCGCCCGGCGUGAAAGCCCCCGGCUCAACCGGGGAGGGUCGUCGGGGACGGAUGCGCUUGAGGGUAUCAGGGGCAGGUAGAAUUCCCGGUGUAGUGGUGAAAUGCGUAGAGAUCGGGAGGAAUACCCGUGGCGAAGGCGGCCUGCUGGGAUACACCUGACGCUGAGACACGAAGGCGUGGGGAGCGAACGGG
rnacentral:rRNA from 1 species